UACGGAGGGUGCAAGCGUUAUCCGGAUUCACUGGGUUUAAAGGGUGCGUAGGUGGGCAGGUAAGUCAGUGGUGAAAUCUCCGGGCUUAACCCGGAACUGCCGUUGAUACUAUCUGUCUUGAAUAUCGCGUAGGUAAGCGGAAUAUGUCAUGUAGCGGUGAAAUGCUUAGAUAUGACAUAGAACACCAAUUGCGAAGGCAGCUUACUUCACGAUCAUUGACACUGAGGCACGAAAGCGUGGGGAGCAAACAGG
rnacentral:rRNA from 1 species